UCACUCAUGCAUGUGUUCACAGUGUGGUCC
rnacentral:piRNA from 1 species